rnacentral:rRNA from 1 species
UCCUACGGGAGGCAGCAGUGGGGAAUAUUGGACAAUGGGCGAAAGCCUGAUCCAGCCAUGCCGCGUGUGUGAAGAAGGUCUUCGGAUUGUAAAGCACUUUAAGUCGGGAGGAAGGGCAGUAAGCUAAUACCUUGCUGUUUUGACGUUACCGACAGAAUAAGCACCGGCUAACUUCGUGCCAGCAGCCGCGGUAAUACGAAGGGUGCAAGCGUUAAUCGGAAUUACUGGGCGUAAAGCGCGCGUAGGCGGUUCAGCAAGUUGGAUGUGAAAGCCCCGGGCUCAACCUGGGAACUGCAU